GAUGAAGUCGAGAUAUAAGAUUUUAUGGACUUAAUAUUCAAAUUCUCCUUCAACCAGAACUGGAUCUAUAGGAUGUUGUUUUUCUCUUGUAAAGGGAUCUGAAACAUAGGGUUUUAGGAGAGACAUGUGGAAAACAGGAUGGAGUUUUACAGAGGAAGGCAAAGUUAAUUUGACUGCAACUUCUCUGAUAAUCUUCUCUGUAGGAAAACAAAAAGUUAAAAUGAAC